rnacentral:rRNA from 1 species
GAGUAACACGUGGGUAACCUGCCUUAUAGUGGGGGAUAGCCUUUCGAAAGGAAGAUUAAUACCGCAUAAGAUUGUAGUAUCGCAUGAUAUAGCAAUUAAAGGAGCAAUUCGCUAUAAGAUGGACCCGCGUCGCAUUAGCUAGUAGGUGGGGUAACGGCUCACCUAGGUGACGAUCCCUAGCUGGUCUGAGAGGAUGACCAGCCACACUGGAACUGGGACACGGUCCAGACUCCUACGGGAGGCAGCAUG